AACAACCCAGACCGCCAGCUAAGGUCCCAAAGUCAUGGUUAAGUGGGAAACGAUGUGGGAAGGCCCAGACAGCCAGGAUGUUGGCUUAGAAGCAGCCAUCAUUUAAAGAAAGCGUAAUAGCUCACUGGUCGAGUCGGCCUGCGCGGAAGAUGUAACGGGGCUAAACCAUGCACCGAAGCUGCGGCAGCGACGCUGAUGCGUUGUUGGGUAGGGGAGCGUUCUGUAAGCCUGUGAAGGUGUGCUGUGAGGCAUGCUGGAGGUAUCAGAAGUGCGAAUGCUGACAUAAGUAACGAUAAAGCGGGUGAAAAGCCCGCUCGCCGGAAGACCAAGGGUUCCUGUCCAACGUUAAUCGGGGCAGGGUGAGUCGACCCCUAAGGCGAGGCCGAAAGGCGUAGUCGAUGGGAAACAGGUUAAUAUUCCUGUACUUGGUGUUACUGCGAAGGGGGGACGGAGAAGGCUAUGUUGGCCGGGCGACGGUUGUCCCGGUUUAAGCGUGUAGGCUGGUUUUCCAGGCAAAUCCGGAAAACUAAGGCUGAGGCGUGAUGACGAGGCACUACGGUGCUGAAGCAACAAAUGCCCUGCUUCCAGGAAAAGCCUCUAAGCAUCAGGUAACAUCAAAUCGUACCCCAAACCGACACAGGUGGUCAGGUAGAGAAUACCAAGGCGCUUGAGAGAACUCGGGUGAAGGAACUAGGCAAAAUGGUGCCGUAACUUCGGGAGAAGGCACGCUGAUAUGUAGGUGAAGUCCCUCGCGGAUGGAGCUGAAAUCAGUCGAAGAUACCAGCUGGCUGCAACUGUUUAUUAAAAACACAGCACUGUGCAAACACGAAAGUGGACGUAUACGGUGUGACGCCUGCCCGGUGCCGGAAGGUUAAUUGAUGGGGUCAGCGCAAGCGAAGCUCUUGAUCGAAGCCCCGGUAAACGGCGGCCGUAACUAUAACGGUCCUAAGGUAGCGAAAUUCCUUGUCGGGUAAGUUCCGACCUGCACGAAUGGCGUAAUGAUGGCCAGGCUGUCUCCACCCGAGACUCAGUGAAAUUGAACUCGCUGUGAAGAUGCAGUGUACCCGCGGCAAGACGGAAAGACCCCGUGAACCUUUACUAUAGCUUGACACUGAACAUUGAGCCUUGAUGUGUAGGAUAGGUGGGAGGCUUUGAAGUGUGGACGCCAGUCUGCAUGGAGCCGACCUUGAAAUACCACCCUUUAAUGUUUGAUGUUCUAACGUUGACCCGUAAUCCGGGUUGCGGACAGUGUCUGGUGGGUAGUUUGACUGGGGCGGUCUCCUCCUAAAGAGUAACGGAGGAGCACGAAGGUUGGCUAAUCCUGGUCGGACAUCAGGAGGUUAGUGCAAUGGCAUAAGCCAGCUUGACUGCGAGCGUGACGGCGCGAGCAGGUGCGAAAGCAGGUCAUAGUGAUCCGGUGGUUCUGAAUGGAAGGGCCAUCGCUCAACGGAUAAAAGGUACUCCGGGGAUAACAGGCUGAUACCGCCCAAGAGUUCAUAUCGACGGCGGUGUUUGGCACCUCGAUGUCGGCUCAUCACAUCCUGGGGCUGAAGUAGGUCCCAAGGGUAUGGCUGUUCGCCAUUUAAAGUGGUACGCGAGCUGGGUUUAGAACGUCGUGAGACAGUUCGGUCCCUAUCUGCCGUGGGCGCUGGAGAACUGAGGGGGGCUGCUCCUAGUACGAGAGGACCGGAGUGGACGCAUCACUGGUGUUCGGGUUGUCAUGCCAAUGGCACUGCCCGGUAGCUAAAUGCGGAAGAGAUAAGUGCUGAAAGCAUCUAAGCACGAAACUUGCCCCGAGAUGAGUUCUCCCUGACUCCUUGAGAGUCCUGAAGGAACGUUGAAG
rnacentral:rRNA from 1 species